GCGGACCGGCGGACGGACGUGCGGCGAAUCGGUUUCGUGUCGCGUUUUAUCGCGCUAGGUAGAGCCGCAGGAAGCUCCAUCAAUUCUCGAUUUCAAUAAUCAUGCGAAGAGGAGCCACGGCGAUUUGCGUAGCCGACGAAACAGCAGUCGACAGACCGGUAGCGUAGCGACUACGCAGUUCGGCUGGCGUGGAUCGCGCGGCUCCGUGUACCUCUCGCCGUGUGUGUCUCACAGCCACAGUUCGCGAGUACUUAUGUGAGAUGGAGUGAAAUGAGUCUUGUGUACGGUGACGAUCCUGAGACGUGUGUGUUGACUCUUCGCCGUACACCGGGCGACGAAUGUAAGUUAAGGUGACCGCCAUGUUUGCAUCGCAAUGGACAUUUCCUGCCCUUGGCGUGAAGCUUAAAGAGCGUGAAGUUUGGCGUCGACGAGCCUCUCUCGUCGCGAACUUCGUGUCGUUCAUAUGCGUACGUGUGACGUCAUAUCGUGAACAGAGUUCUUUUUGCACGUAUGUACGUUUGAGUUUUCGUGAGUAACCGGCAGUGAAAUAAACGUUGGGACGAGACAGUGAGAUCGAAGACGCGCGCGUUGUUGUUCUUGCGGGACGGGGUGAAAGUCAAGAUUAAUUCAUCCCGCGCGAGUCACCGUAAGUUCCGUCCGAUCAAUUCAUCGCGCACCAGCUCGCGUGCUAUCAUCGAUACCGAACGGAUUUAUUUUGUACGCGUAGCUACUUCCGAGGUUUCAUGUGCGACAUAGAAAUAAAUGCUUCGAUAGAAUAUCGAUCUAUGCAUUCGAACAACCCUGUGGUCAACGUGGUGGUACGACUCCCCUGCUGCGCGUCGGUCCGGUGAGUUAUAAAAUUUCUUUACAGUUUGAAACAUCGCGACGCUUAUUUUAUUCCAUGUCAGCGAUAAAAAGAAGAAAACAAAAAUGAAUGGAGAGACAGAGCUGAAAUGUUUAUGUAUGCAUCGUCAAAAUAAGCAUCAUUUGCAACUCCUAUUAAGUUAGCCCCUUCCACCAAUGCAAAAUUAAUUUUAAAAUGUUUUAAAAUCAAGCGCUAAUUAGGUGCUACAGUUCGAAAUUAGGUGCUUGAAUCGUUUGCCAGAAAAUUAAACAUUUUGGACAGGCUUAACAUUUAAGCUAGCUCCCUUGCCUGACUAAAAAAAAAAAUAUGUAAAUGAAUAAACAAAUAUAGUAGAAUUAAAUGCUAAUUAGGUGUUUCAAGAAAUAAUGAAAAUAAAUUAAAAAUAUAUAUUACUUUUAUAUAAUUAUAUUUAUAAAUAUAUAUAUUCAUCACAUUUUAAAUAUUAUUUACUUUCAUUUUUUAAUCUAAUUUUGAGACUCGCCUCUUCAAAGAAUCAUUUUAUUCAAAUGUGAGCAAAGAAUCUUAUAACGCUGCACCUAAUUUACUGGAGUGCUUACUGUUACUAAUUGUAUUAUUGGAGUUUUAUAAUCGAGUCACAAAAUAAAUUAAAAAUACAUAUUCUGAAAAAUUCUUUACUUUCUUUUUUGAUUGUAUGUUCUUGCUGGUCAAAAAUUCGUAAAUUUUGUGUUACUGUGCUAAUUCUAUGAACGCCUUCGUAUAAUUUGGCGUUAGUAAAAUGUGUACAAGUUGUUUAAUCGCGUAGCAUAUUUCAUAAAUCAUCUCAAAAAGGAUUCAAAUCCACACAGAACAGUAUAACUAAAUCGGUUUUUAAUCGAUUUAGAAGCGAUCGUUACCUCUCGAAAGACAAAGGCAUACCUUUGAAUCUUUGUUUGCAAAAUUUACAGGGAUGUGGAAGGCAAAGUAUAAUAAAAGAAGCCGAUAUUUAUUUGAAAAAUAUUUAAUAAUAAACAUUGACAAUAUACAGAGAAAAUACGCCAUAAGAAGUCGCUAUGGGAUUAAUAAGAACCUAACAACUGGUCCAGACUUACAAAAUAUCAUCAAAUCAGACAAUGAUAAAGAUGUCACGAGUCACACCUUAUAUUCCUAUCAAUAUUUCGCAAAUAAAGUUCGAGUUGACCAUAUAUUCUUCCUCUCUUAUACCUGUUUUCUUAUUUUUUUACUCUUUCUACCGAUUUCCAUUAAUUUCUCUUGUGAGCUCGCUAUUUAUGUUGAACUCUCGAUCUGCACAAAUUGCUUACGAGGAAAUCCGCAAGGAGACACAGAGGGAUAUCAACGGCGUUUCUCUUUGUGGAUUUCUCUUUUUUUUUUACACUUGCGAGAGAAGCGGAAAAAACAGGUAGCAUUUUUAGCUGUUUCGGUUUUUUCAACAAUCCGAAUGUCACUGGGCAUUUCUUCAUUUGUGAUUUUGUCUUCGUGCUACCUUAUAAUGAUUAAUUAAUUCGUGCUCUUGAUUUCACCAAUUGUGGAGAAAAGGGGAGUUUCUCGCUCAUCCGUCACGCACGUAUACACACAACACACGUAUAGGCAGGCACGCAUCAUGUCUCAUAUACAGAUACAUUAAACUUUACACGCACGCAUUGCUAGAAAUAUCAUUAAUAAUAACGUCCUAAUGUCAUGGAACAUCCUUCAUUAAUUUUUCUUGCAAUAAUUCGAAAAAAACGGCACGGCGCUGCCGCGUCGGUUCGAGACAGUUUUGAGACGCCGGUCAAAUUAUAUGCUCAUCCUCGUGCUGAUCCUACGAUCGUACGACAAGGAGGGAAACAUCCGGCAGCGCCCUGCGCAAAUACCUAGGAUAUGUUGCUUGUAAGAUGUGUCAUUAUGUAGUCAUGUAUUCAUCUAGAUUCAUUUAAAAAUCCCUUUACGGUAUUUAUCGUUAAUUAAUCAUUAUACGUAUAAUGUACGGUGCGUAUCAUUGAGUUAUGUUACACUGCGCGAUUCCACUAGCUCUGAGUCUCAUCAUCGAUGAGGGGGUAAAAAUUAAUCAUCGGCGGAGUUGAAAAUUCAGGCUCGACAUACCCUCGUUUACGUCCGUCGUUAAUUAGUCAGGAUAAAAGAGAUCCUAUCUGCACAUCGUUCUCCAUGUAUUUUUAAAAUUUUCAUGAAUGUUUUAUGAGCUAUUUUCAUAGCUAAUAAUCAUUCAUGAGCAAUUUAUAUAAAAUACGGACCAGUCUGCAGAAACGAGUUCUUUAACCUGAAAAGGAAGGUAUGCUCGACGAAGACUAAAAUGAACGAUAAAGGGGAGGAGAUUCUGGGACACGAGGAUACGUGAACGUGCAGAAAUUUGGCAGAAGUCGUUGAACUUCCUCGCGUAAAUUAUAUUAUCAUCUAGAUAUGUCGCGUUCUUUAUAGACAACGUUUUUAACAGCCGAAAGAAUUUCGCAUCAAUUCUCCCGUGAUUUCUUUUUCCCGAUAGUUAAGCAAAUUAAAAACGAAAUUCAUUAAUGGGACAUUCUUUCAAUGAUCGGGAGAAACAAAGAACAACAGAGAGACUUGGGUGGGAGGGAGAAUGUGGAGGCGAAAGAGAGCUGAUUUAGCCUCUAGAGUCUAUGAACAUCUUGUACGAUAGGCCUGCUCGCAACGGUAACGCGCAUAAAAGAAGGGGAGAAUCGAGGAAAAGAAGUUGUGCAUUUGUGACGAAGAUGGGACGCGAUGAAACCGCGGGGGAAAAAAAGUGUCUCGCGCGGCUUUCCCGUCUUGCUAAUUUGAGCUUGACUUCUUACGCUAGCCACUAAUAAUAAUAGCCUAUCGAUAAAAGUAUCGAUUACGAGUAAGUAUAAAUUGUAAUUACAGGUGUACAAUAUACAGGGAGAUAAACCUCGCAGAAUCUCUUUCUCGUGUGCUUGUUUUCAACCCGCAUUAGAUGCUCUCACGAAAAUCUCUAUUUCAAAACAUAAUUUCCGCUCGAUCAUUUCUUUUUCUCCUCCGAACCCAUACGGCUCCUUGUGCUAUCUUUCACGCGGAAGGGGAUGUACGUCUAUCAAGAAACCGAGAAUUCGUGAUUCUCAACUUGACACCCGUCACGUCGUUUAUGCAAAACGAGCAUGCGCGUCAUAUUUCCUGACAAAAUCCGUCUUGAUUUUACGUAUUCAACUGCGUAAUCAAUUAAUUAAUCUACAUUCAUUAAUUUAACGUUACGAGAAUCAUGAGUAUGUUUGAGUGGGUUUCUUCUGCUUGCUUUAGAGUACUUCCUAAAUUACAGUGCGUUCCUCGGCACGCUCCUUCAGGAUCUUUGUGCUCGAAAAAUUCUAUGCUGAUCUAUUUACAUGUACACGACGUUCGCGAGAG